rnacentral:misc_RNA from 1 species
UGAGGGAGGAGGCUCUUGGGUUGUAAACCUCUUUUCUUAGGGAAUAAAAAAAUGAAGGUACCUAAGGAAUCAGCAUCGGCUAACUCCGUGCCAGCAGCCGCGGUAAUACGGAGGAUGCAAGCGUUAUUCGGAAUUAUUGGGCGUAAAGCGUCCGCAGGUGGCACUUCAAGUCUGCUGUUAAAGAUUGGGGCUUAACCCUAAAAAGGCAGUGGAAACUGAAGAGCUAGAGUGUCGUAGGGGUAGAGGGAAUUCCUGGUGUAGCGGUGAAAUGCGUAGAGAUCAGGAAGAACAUCGGUGGCGAAAGCGCUCUACUGGACGACAACUGACACUCAGGGACGAAAGCUAGGGGAGCGAAUGGGAUUAGAUACCCCAGUAGUCCUAGCCGUAAACGAUGGAUACUAGGUGUGGCUUGUAUCGACCCGAGCCGUGCCGUAGCUAACGCGUUAAGUAUCCCGCCUGGGGAGUACGCGCGCAAGCGUGAAACUCAAAGGAAUUGACGGGGGCCCGCACAAGCGGUGGAGUAUGUGGUUUAAUUCGAUGCAACGCGAAGAACCUUACCAGGGCUUGACAUGUCUGGAAUCUCUUUGAAAGGAGAGAGUGCCUUCGGGAGCCAGAACACAGGUGGUGCAUGGCUGUCGUCAGCUCGUGUCGUGAGAUGUUGGGUUAAGUCCCGCAACGAGCGCAACCCUCGUUUUUAGUUGCCAUCAUUAAGUUGGGCACUCUAGAGAGACUGCCGGUGACAAACCGGAGGAAGGUGGGGAUGACGUCAAGUCAGCAUGCCCCUUACGUCCUGGGCUACACACGUACUACAAUGCGACGGACAAAGGGCAGCCAACCAGCGAUGGUGCGCUAAUCCCAUAAACCGUGGCUCAGUUCAGAUCGCAGGCUGCAACUCGCCUGCGUGAAGGAGGAAUCGCUAGUAAUUGCAGGUCAGCAUACUGCAGUGAAUCCGUUCCCGGGCCUUGUACACACCGCCCGUCACACCAUGGAAGCUGGCCACGCCCGAAGUCGUUACCCUAACCGUUCGCGGAGGGGGACGCCGAAGGCAGGGCUGGUGACUGGGGUGAAGUCGUAACAAGGUAGCCGUACCGGAAGGUGUGGCUGGAUCACCUCCUUUUAGGGAGACCAACUGUAACGACAACUAAAAUUGGCAACAAUGAGUAAAUUGUAGUUAGAGAUAUCCCAAGGUCGAGCGAGCUUGCUCAAAAAAGCUUUCAAACUAUUGUUGCGGUUCGGACUGGGCUAUUAGCUCAGGUGGUUAGAGCGCGCCCCUGAUAAGGGCGAGGUCCCUGGUUCGAGUCCAGGAUGGCCCACCUCUAAUUACCGAAGAGUAAAAGACCCCAAGAAACCGCAUUUCUAUUCAGCACCUCAAAUUGCACAACUAAGAGCAAGAGAGAAUGCUGGAUCUUGAAUCCAGUAAGCACCUUGAAAACUGCAUAGUAAAAAGAAGAAACGAAGACAAAUGUUUAACGAGCAGUAGCUCAGUUAGGUGUUUGUCCAAGUGUGUGAACUGAAAUAGUGGUCAAGCGACAAAGAGCUUAUGGUGGAUACCUAGGCACACAGAGA